AAAGUGAAAACUUUCUUCUUAAGCCAAACUGCACGAGAAUGCUACUCACAGGAAGAAGGUUGCAUGGAAUCAUUAUGCUGGGGGCAGCAUUAGAUUUGCCUGGCUCAUACAUUUCAGUCAACCAGUUCUGAAUGCAUGAAUGCAGAAGUUGGUUAUAUCUACUGAAGAGGAACUCUGUUUUUCAGCUACAAGCAGGCGUCUCUUAUUGCAAGUUUAUGUCUAUUUUUGAGUAUGUGCCUAAUUAUACGAGACCCAGCGUGGAGUAGUGGUUUGACUACAACCCUGGAGACCAGGAUUCGAUUCCUUGCUCAAACAUGGAGACCCACUGGGUGACCUUGGCCAAGUCAUACUAUCAUCUCUGGGUCUAACUCUGGCAUGCUUUUAGAAGUUAAAGACAUGCUUUUAGACGUUUCCUUCUGGAAGAACAGAAGUGCUACGACAGCACACAGAAAGGGUUUUAAAAGAAAAUUGGUGCUGGGAAGGAAAAGCUCAAAGACAUUCUAAUAACAACUUCAAGCUAAUAAAGAAAACAUGGUUUAAGCCUUGAGAGAGUGUCUCUUCCAGCCUUCCCCCAAUCAGAUGGAUUGUACUACAAAUGCCAUUAUCCCCUUGAGAUGAUGGUAGUCCAGCACAUAUGAAGGAUGCUGGGCUGGGAAAUCCUGCUACAGUUCGGGCAUCUUCCCAGGCUCCUUGCCUUUGCUUGAAACAGUCAAUACUAAUUAUUGUACACAUCUCUUCUAAGGGAAACAAUAGAGCCCUCGCUUCUUUUUCUAUGGUUCGUCCCUGCCCUCGCCUUACCUCCACUUCUGAAUUCAUUCCUGUGCAAGUGGGAAUUCCUUCCCCUGAAUUAGCUGAAUAUCCUUUUGUUGAUUGACUGCCAUAGAAACCAGAGUGAACAUUGUAAAAAAUCCACUUGAAGUACAUUUGAUUACACCAAGAGUUCUGGCCAGAAUAUUGUCAGGAUCAUUUAGAAGAACCAGAGCAAAGUUAUUCCCUUCCUUUCCCCACCCCUGCCUUUGGGAAUUGCUGCUCACUGUAAAUGCUCCACAGAACAGACUGCAGACCCACUCAGACUUCUCUGUUUAUCUGACUUACUCGCUCUCCAAUUGCUCACUGGUCCAGUCACUUGGAAAGCUGUAUGGGGCUCUCCCAUAGGGAAUUGUAAAGCGGUGUCAUUUCGGUCUCCUCUGCCUUUCCCAGCCUUGGGUUUGUUUGUUUUUGUUUUCUUUGCCACAACAUCUGGCCUACUUCAGGGAGAGAUUUCACAAUUUGGAACCUGCAGCAAUUAACUGACACAGGAUCAACAAGCUCCAGAAUAUCAUUUUGUGCUCUUUUUUUUACUUCUCUUGCAAAGGACACUGGGUCACUGCUUGUUUCCUAGGGUGCACAACCAUCUAUAUUUAUUUUAUUGUUUAUAGAGGCCCCUGUCAGUAUUUGCAAACACACUAUCCUCUCUCCUGUGCUGACCACUGGCUGAGCAUCUCUGGGACUUGUGAUUUUAAAAAGCAACUUGCACAAUAUUUGCCUAUUUCCACGUGUGGCAAGUUUUCUUGUUCUAAAUUAGAAUUUCCCAUGGAUAAAUUGAUUUCAGCUGAAGGGACCAUCAAGCAUUGCAGCAGAUGUUUUAGCACCAAAUUCAGAUGAUCUAAACUCUGAUGUGGCUCUCCCAGCAACCAGUGUCUGCAAUGUAUUUCCCUUCUGGGAAGAAGAUUGUGUCAGCCUCAGCAUUCCAGCAUUCCCUCUGCCAAGCAUUAGACAUUUUCUUUCUCCCUCCUCUCCUAUGGAAAAAAUUACAGAUUUAGAUUUUUAUAGGUGUCAAAGAAUAAACUACUGGUAUGGAGGGAUACUGGGCCUUGUGAAUAAUUUGCAUCUUGGCAAACAUUCUGCCUCAGGAAGUGCUUAAAUCCAUCUUUAUUUCGAAGGGCAUGUAGAAACAAGGCAAAAGACAUUUGAAAAAGAUUUCUGUAAUACUUUCCUUCAACUGUCAUUAAUUUUUGUCAAUUUGUGCUUUCUAUAGCCCUGUUAGAAAUGAACAAAUAAACAGCUAGU